CAAUAGCGUAUAUUAAAGUUGUUGCAGUUAAAAAGCUCGUAGUUGGAUGUCUGGCUGACUCAGGGUGUCAAUUUUGACUACUCAUGAUGAUGCCAUCUUUGGGCAGGUUCUGUGUGGCAUUCGGUUGUCGUGCAGGAAAUGCCUAUCGUUUACUGUGAAAAAAUUAGGGUGUUCAAAGCAAGCUUACGCUGUUGAAUAUAUUAGCAUGGAAUAAUAAGAUAGGACCUUAGUACUAUUUUGUUGGUUUGUGCACUGAGGUAAUGAUUAAUAGGGACAGUUGGGGGUAUUUGUAUUCCAUUGUAAGAGGUGAAAUUCUUGGAUUUUUGGAAGACAAACUACUGCGAAAGCAUUUACCAAGGAUGUUUUCAUUAA
rnacentral:rRNA from 1 species